AACGCGAAGAACCUUACCUGGGCUCGAACGGCUUUGGAUCGACGGUGGAAACACUGUUUUCCCGCAAGGGACCGGAGUCGAGGUGCUGCAUGGCUGUCGUCAGCUCGUGUCGUGAGAUGUUGGGUUAAGUCCCGCAACGAGCGCAACCCUUGUCCUGUGUUGCCACUCCCGUAAGGGAAGCACUCUCAGGAGACCGCCAGCGAUAAGUUGGAGGAAGGUGGGGAUGAUGUCAAGUCAUCAUGGCCUUUAUGUCCAGGGCUACACACGUGCUACAAUGGUCGGUACAAAGCGCUGCAAACCCGCGAGGGGGAGCUAAUCGGAUAAAACCGUGCUCAGUUCGGAUUGCAGUCUGCAACUCGGCUGCAUGAAGCUGGAAUCGCUAGUAAUGGCGUAUCAGAUCGACGCCGUGAAUACGUUCCCGGGCCUUGUACACACCGCGCAU
rnacentral:rRNA from 1 species